rnacentral:rRNA from 1 species
CCUACGGGGAGCUGCAGUGGGGAAUAUUGGGCAAUGGGCGCAAGCCUGACCCAGCAACGCCGCGUGAAGGAAGAAGGCUUUCGGGUUGUAAACUUCUUUUGACAGGGAAGAGUAGAAGACGGUACCUGUCGAAUAAGCCACGGCUAACUACGUGCCAGCAGCCGCGGUAAUACGUAGGUGGCAAGCGUUGUCCGGAUUUACUGGGUGUAAAGGGCGUGUAGCCGGGUUGACAAGUCAGAUGUGAAAUCCUGCGGCUUAACCGCAGAACUGCAUUUGAAACUGUUGAUCUUGAGUACUGGAGAGGCAGACGGAAUUCCUAGUGUAGCGGUGAAAUGCGUAGAUAUUAGGAGGAACUCCGAUUGCGAAGGCAGCCUGCUGGACUGUAACUGACGCUGAUGCUCGAAAGUGUGGGUAUCAAACAGGAUUAGAUACCCUAGUAGUC